GGGCCGGCUAUAGCCCAGCGGUUACUUCGUUCAAUUGCAGCGUGUUUGCUUUCGCCCCGACAGGGGUUCGAUCCCGCGGGCACCCCUGGCCCUUUU
ensembl:vault_RNA Vault Vault RNA